CGCUCACCUCCCGCUCCGCCGUUCGGAAUCCCCGCGCUUGCGUCACGCGCCGCUCCGCCUCAGUCGCGAUGCGUAACUUCCGGCGGGCGCUCUCGCGAGACUUCCGGCGUUGCCCAGGGAACGGGGCUUGUGUGGGCUGUAGUGCAGCCCGAGUAGGCCCCGUUGCGGAGCCCCAAGUAGGCCCCGUUGCGCCUUGGCGGGACCAGGGGCGAGCGAGUGGGGCUGGGCGUUCUGCGCUGCCCCCUGUGAUCUGUUGUGGAGGUUCUGGGAGCCGUGGGCUGCGAAAUUCCGAGCCCUGGUGGUGGUUUGGGCCUCGAGGGCAGCAGGGCCUGGGCCCGAGGGGGGCUCCUCCGCCCUGCUCAGCUGCACAGUUCUCUGCCUGCCUUCAGCCUUCUGUCACUGCUGCACAUGGCCAGGAGCUGCCUGGAGGCUGCAGCCCCUCAAAGCGAAGGUCGCACGCCCCUGGUGUGCCCCCAGCCAGCCCUGAGCUGCUCUGUCCUCAUGGAUCACUGUAUGUAAGAUUCUAGCAAAUCAUGCAACUCUUGUAAUAAAUGGAUAGGUAUGGUUUACCUGGAUCCUCAAAUUUCACAAAACUGUAUUUUAUGUGCUUACAUGAGGAAGAAAGUGGGAAGAAAAUGUUUCAUACACAUCUCCCUGCGUUGUUGCAUCUUCCCACGCUGUUAGAUGGUUGCUGUGAAGAUGCAGAGCAGGAUGUGGUUUAGUUUACUGUAUCUUGUCAAAUACCUCUUAGCAAACUGUAAGGGGUAAUGUUUGUAUGUAGAAGCGUUCAAAUACUUAAGAGACCUUAAAUGUGGGCCUGUUGUGUAACCUGAUCUCUUCUCCAACUUGGGGUAUAUUCUGUGUUCAGUUAGGAGAGUUUAUUGUGUGGCUGUUUUGCUUGCCAGCCUUUAAACUCCUUGAGCUGAACUUGCCAGGCUUGUAAACUGUCUUUAACUGUAGCUAAUGGGCUGGGGAGAUUUGAGUUAUUCUUUCUGUACUUUGCAGCACACAAAAUGUAACAAUUUAUUUUGCUCGUGUUUCUGAAUGUGCCAGAGGCUCCAACUUGAUACUCAUCACACAAGAUUCUGCUGCAAAAGAAAUGACUUAUUAAAAUCGUGAAACACCAUGAGAGUGAACAGUAAGAUAUUUAUAAUGGAGAAUAAAGGUUUAAAAAUGAUCUCAAA